rnacentral:rRNA from 1 species
GCGAGUGAAGCGGCAAGAGCUCAAAUUUGAAAUCUGGCGUAAGCCCGAGUUGUAAUUUGAAGAAGAUAUUCUUGGAAUUGGUCCUUGUCUAUGUUCCUUGGAACAGGACGUCACAGAGGGUGAGAAUCCCGUGCGACAAGGAAUUCUUUUCUUUAUAAGAUGUCUUCGAAGAGUCGAGUUGUUUGGGAAUGCAGCUCAAAGUGGGUGGUAAAUUCCAUCUAAAGCUAAAUAUUGGCGAGAGACCGAUAGCGAACAAGUACUGUGAAGGAAAGAUGAAAAGAACUUUGAAAAGAGAGUGAAAAAGUACGUGAAAUUGUUGAAAGGGAAGGGUAUUCGAUCAGACUGGUAUUUAAUUAUCGCUACUCCUUGUGGGUGGUGCUCUAAUUUCUUACUGGGCCAACAUCAGUUUUGGUGGUAAGAUAAUCGCAGUUGAAUGUGGCUCCUCGGAGUGUUAUAGCUUCUGUUGAUGUUACCUACCGGGACUGAGGUCUGCGACUUUGUCUAGGAUGUUGGCGUAAUGAUCCAAUACCGCCC